rnacentral:rRNA from 1 species
UUAACGCUGAGGUGUGAUGACGAGGCACUACGGUGCUGAAGUGAUAAAUGCCCUGCUUCCAGGAAAAGCCUCUAAGCAUCAGGUAACACGAAAUCGUACCCCAAACCGACACAGGUGGUCAGGUAGAGAAUACCAAGGCGCUUGAGAGAACUCGGGUGAAGGAACUAGGCAAAAUGGUGCCGUAACUUCGGGAGAAGGCACGCUGAUGUGUAGGUGAAGCCCCUGCGGGCGGAGCUGAAAUCAGUCGAAGAUACCAGCUGGCUGCAACUGUUUAUUAAAAACACAGCACUGUGCAAACACGAAAGUGGACGUAUACGGUGUGACGCCUGCCCGGUGCCGGAAGGUUAAUUGAUGGGGUUAGCUGUAAGGCGAAGCUCUUGAUCGAAGCCCCGGUAAACGGCGGCCGUAACUAUAACGGUCCUAAGGUAGCGAAAUUCCUUGUCGGGUAAGUUCCGACCUGCACGAAUGGCGUAAUGAUGGCCAGGCUGUCUCCACCCGAGACUCAGUGAAAUUGAACUCGCUGUGAAGAUGCAGUGUACCCGCGGCAAGACGGAAAGACCCCGUGAACCUUUACUAUAGCUUGACACUGAACACUGGUCCUUGAUGUGUAGGAUAGGUGGGAGGCUUUGAAGCGUGGACGCCAGUCUGCGUGGAGCCAACCUUGAAAUACCACCCUUUAAUGGCUGGUGUUCUAACGUAGACCCGUAAUCCGGGUUGCGGACAGUGUCUGGUGGGUAGUUUGACUGGGGCGGUCUCCUCCCAAAGAGUAACGGAGGAGCACGAAGGUUGGCUAAUCCUGGUCGGACAUCAGGAGGUUAGUGCAAUGGCAUAAGCCAGCUUGACUGCGAGCGUGACGGCGCGAGCAGGUGCGAAAGCAGGUCAUAGUGAUCCGGUGGUUCUGAAUGGAAGGGCCAUCGCUCAACGGAUAAAAGGUACUCCGGGGAUAACAGGCUGAUACCGCCCAAGAGUUCAUAUCGACGGCGGUGUUUGGCACCUCGAUGUCGGCUCAUCACAUCCUGGGGCUGAAGUAGGUCCCAAGGGUAUGGCUGUUCGCCAUUUAAAGUGGUACGCGAGCUGGGUUUAGAACGUCGUGAGACAGUUCGGUCCCUAUCUGCCGUGGGCGCUGGAGAAUUGAGGGGGGCUGCUCCUAGUACGAGAGGACCGGAGUGGACGCAUCACUGGUGUUCGGGUUGUCAUGCCAAUGGCACUGCCCGGUAGCUAAAUGCGGAAGAGAUAAGUGCUGAAAGCAUCUAAGCACGAAACUUGCCCCGAGAUGAGUUCUCCCUGAGACUUUAAGUCUCCUGAAGGAACGUUGAAGACGACGACGUUGAUAGGUCGGGUGUGUAAGCGCAGCGAUGCGUUGAGCUAACCGAUACUAAUGAACCGUGAGGCUUAACCUUACAACGCCGAAG